GGGGCCGUAGCUCAGUGGUUAGAGCAGGGGACUCAUAAUCCCUCGGUCGAAGGUUCGAUCCCUUCCGGCCCCA
rnacentral:tRNA from 3 species